rnacentral:rRNA from 1 species
CCUACGGGUGGCUGCAGUGGGGAAUAUUGCGCCAUGGGCGAAAGCCUGACGCAGCGACGCCGCGUGGGUGAUGAAGGCCUUCGGGUUGUAAAGCCCUGUCGGGUGGAACGAACGAUCUGGCGGCGAAUAACCGCCGGGUGUGACGGUACCACCGCAGGAAGCCCCGGCUAACUACGUGCCAGCAGCCGCGGUCAGACGUAGGGGGCGAGCGUUGUGAGGAUUUACUGGGCGGAAAGCGCGAGUAGGCGGCGAAAGCCCUCGGCUUAACCGAGGUCCCGCAUCCGAUACUGUCUGGCUCUAGUCUAGGAGAGGAAAGCGGAAUUCCCAGUGUAGCGGUGAAAUGCGUAGAUAUUGGGAGGAACACCGGUGGCGAAGGCGGCUUUCCGGACUAGUACUGACGCUGAGGCGCGAAAGCUAGGGGAGCGAACGGGAUUAGAUACCCGGGUAGUC